ACACGUAGGUAACCUGCCCAUGUGCCCGGGAUAACUUCUGGAAACGGAGUGCUAAAACCGGAUAGGUAGCAGACAAGCAUUUGACUGCUAUUAAAGUGGCUAAGGCCAUGAACAUGGAUGGACCUGCGGUGCAUUAGCUAGUUGGUGAGGUAACGGCCCACCAAGGCGACGAUGCAUAGCCGGCCUGAGAGGGCGGACGGCCACAUUGGGACUGAGACACGGCCCAAACUCCUACGGGAGGCAGCAUG
rnacentral:rRNA from 1 species